CAUUAAUAAUUUUGAAGCCCGGGCUUUGGGAGCCAGGGGUGGGAGUUAAAAUCUCCUUUUUUUGG
rnacentral:tRNA from 1 species